rnacentral:misc_RNA from 1 species
AAGUCGUAACAAGGUUUCCGUAGGUGAACCUGCGGAAGGAUCAUUAAUGGAAUAAACCUGGUGGACUGUCGCUGGCUCUCUUGAGAGCAUGUGCACGUCUGCCAUCUUUAUCUUUCCACCUGUGCACCUUUUGUAGACCUGGAUGCUUAAUAUAUCAAUCUGAGGUCAACUCAGGCGUGAGGACUGUCGGCGUCGCAAGAUAUCGGCUUUCCUUGUAGCAUUCCAGGGACUAUGUUUUUCAUACACACUUUAAAAAUCUAAUAGAAUGUCGUUUUAAAAAGGUCUUUGUACCUAUAUAAAACAAAUAUACAACUUUCAGCAACGGAUCUCUUGGCUCUC